rfam:Triticum aestivum genome assembly, contig: Triticum_aestivum_CS42_TGACv1_scaffold_031899_1BL
UAUAUACUCCCUCCGUUCGGAAUUACUUGUCUUAGAAAUGGACGUAUCUAGAACUAAAAUACAUCUAGAUACAUCCCUUUCUGCGACAAGUAAUUCCAAACGGAGGGAGUAUAAA